rnacentral:rRNA from 1 species
AUGCUUGUCGGCGGCGAGCUGGCUCUUCUCGACCCCCUGCCAGUGCCCACAGCGCCAUGGCAAGACCUCACAAUGGAUUUCAUCGAAGGCCUGCCCAAGUCCGAAGGGCACGAUUCGAUCAUGGUCAUCAUCGACCGCCUGACAAAGUUCGCGCACUUCAUCCCCCUUCGCCACCCGUUCAAGGCCGCGCAGGUGGCGCGCGUCUUCUGGGACAACAUUGUCAAGCUGCACGUCGUUCCCAAGUCCAUCAUCUCCGACUGCAACCGAGUGUUCACCAGCGUGCUCUGGAGCGAGUUGUUCACCACGGCGGGCACCAAGUUACUCUAUUCGACAGCGUACCACCUGCAAACCGAUGGCCAAAGCGAGCGCGUCAAUCAAUGCCUGGAGAUGUGCCUGCGGCCAUGUGCCAAGCUUGCAUACAAGUUCUUCGGCCCCUUCAAGAUUCUGGAGAAGAUCGGCACCCUCGCCUACAAGCUCGAGCUAUCGCCGGACAGCCGCAUCCACGACGUCUUCCACAUUUUGCAAUUGAAGCCAUUCACGCCCAACUACAUGUCGGUCUUUGCCGAGCCACCCAAACCACCGGAUUUGGCGACAGGCGACGUCGAACUGGUGGAGAUCCUGGAACGCCGCAUGGUCAAGCGCGGCAACAACGCCCUGGUCCAGCUUCGCAUCCGUUGGUCUUCUUCCACUAUGGACACCACCUGGGAGGACUACAACACCGCUUUCCGGCCGCCAACAUCUGGCAGGACGAUGACCCGACAGCUUCGAAACUUGAAGAACCUACAGCAGAAGAGGAGGCUCUUUUUGAAGAAGAGGGGAGUGUCACACCUCCAUUCCCUAAUGUAG